GGCCGCGGGAAUUGGAUUCAGGCCUAACACAUGCAAGUCGAGCGGUAGAGAGAAGCUUGCUUCUCUUGAGAGCGGCGGACGGGUGAGUAAUGCCUAGGAAUCUGCCUGGUAGUGGGGGAUAACGUUCGGAAACGGACGCUAAUGCCGCAUACGUCCUACGGGAGAAAGCAGGGGACCUUCGGGCCUUGCGCUAUCAGAUGAGCCUAGGUCGGAUUAGCUAGUUGGUGAGGUAAUGGCUCACCAAGGCUACGAUCCGUAACUGGUCUGAGAGGAUGAUCAGUCACACUGGAACUGAGACACGGUCCAGACUCCUACGGGAGGCAGCAGUGGGGAAUAUUGGACAAUGGGCGAAAGCCUGAUCC
rnacentral:rRNA from 1 species